rnacentral:lncRNA from 1 species
UGAGAUUAGAGAUUAGAGAAGAUGAAAAAAAGAACAUAAGAGAUGCGAGAUUGAGAAGAAAAGUGCAAUAAAAACGUAAUUGGAAGAGAAAAUAGUAACAUAAAAGAUAAAAAAGAAAGAACAUAAUAAAGGACUUAUUAGAGUAGACUAUGUGAGACCUACAUGGAAAAGAAGAUGAGAAGAAUGUGUGAUACUAUUAUGAGAGAUUUAAGAAGGUUGAAAUUGA